rnacentral:rRNA from 1 species
GAUGAACGCUGGCGGCGUGCUUAACACAUGCAAGUCGAACGGAAAGGCCCAAGCUUGCUUGGGUGCUCGAGUGGCGAACGGGUGAGUAACACGUGGGUGAUCUGCCCUGCACUUUGGGAUAAGCCUGGGAAACUGGGUCUAAUACCGGAUAGGACCAUCGUUUAGUGUCGGUGGUGGAAAGUUUUUCGGUGUGGGAUGAGCUCGCGGCCUAUCAGCUUGUUGGUAGGGUAAUGGCCUACCAAGGCGUCGACGGGUAGCCGGCCUGAGAGGGUGUACGGCCACAUUGGGACUGAGAUACGGCCCAGACUCCUACGGGAGGCAGCAGUGGGGAAUAUUGCACAAUGGGCGCAAGCCUGAUGCAGCGACGCCGCGUGGGGGAUGACGGCCUUCGGGUUGUAAACUCCUUUCGCCAAGGACGAAGCGUUUUGUGACGGUACUUGGAGAAGAAGCACCGGCUAACUACGUG